UGGGAUCAUCUUUAUUACAGCGAUAUAAGAUUUUGGUGUUAUUUGGAAUCAAGGAUUAAGGUGCAUUCACAAAGAUUAAGUGGCACGCGUGCGAGAUCGGGGUCGUGGUCAACGUCAGGAAGUGAGAAAAGGUUAUUAGCCAUAAUAACAGAUUCGAAGACUGGAAAAAGGAAGCUCAUUCCAAGAAAAAUGGCGCAAAAAAAGAAAAAGUACGUCUAGAAAUAAUCUUGAAAAGGCUUCCCUUUCAGAAACAAGAAAAAGAGCAUCGACAGAGGGCGAAGAAUAACACAAGCAAAAGUGUUUUGUGCCACGUUCAAUUAUGUUGCACAUAAAAGGACUUCAAAUGAACUACUAUUCCAACGUAUUAAGAAAGAAAGUAAAUGGUUUGAACACUGGAGUAUCAUUACAUGUGUUGGACAUUCUGUGGACAAUUUCGCGAAGCUCACGCGAGAUCUACAUGUUAUUUUUAGAGCUGUGUUUUAAAUUAAAAUCUUAAAUAUGUUACGGGAGGUUUUCUCUUACGAAUAAAGCUAAUCUUUUCAUUUUUUC